rnacentral:rRNA from 1 species
CCCUUAGGUGUUCUCGGCCGCACACGCGCUACACUGAAAGAGGCAACGUGUUUGCCUGAUUCGAAAGAAUUGGGUAACCCCCUAAUCUCUUUCGUGCUGGGGAUUGAGGUUUGCAAUUAUCCUUCAUGAACGAGGAAUUCCCAGUAAGUGCGAGUCAUUAUCUCGCGCUGACUACGUCCCUGCCCUUUGUACACACCGCCCGUCGCUACUACCGAUUGAAUGAUUUAGUGAGGACUUCGGACUGAGUCCAAUGCGGCUUUCGGGCUGCGUUGGUAUUUCGGAAAGAUGUCCAAACUGUAUCAUUUAGAGGAAGUAAAAGUCGUAACA